rnacentral:rRNA from 1 species
UGCUAGUCGCACGGGUUUAGACCCGUGGCGAACAGCUCAGUAACACGUGGCCAAGCUACCCUCUGGACUGGAACACUCUCGGGAAACUGAGGCUAAUUCCAGAUAUGGCUUCCACCCUGGAAUGGGGGAAGCCGAAAACGCUCCGGCGCCAGAGGAUGCGGCUGCGGCCGAUUAGGUAGACGGUGGGGUAACGGCCCACCGUGCCGAUAAUCGGUACGGGUCAUGAGAGUGAGAGCCCGGAGACGGUAUCUGAGACAAGAUACCGGGCCCUACGGGGCGCAGCAGGCGCGAAACCUUUACACUGCGCGACAGCGCGAUAGGGGGACUCCAAGUGCGAGGGCAUAUCGUCCUCGCUUUUCUGUACCGUAAGGUGGUACAGGAAUAAGGGCUGGGCAAGACCGGUGCCAGCCGCCGCGGUAACACCGGCAGCUCGAGUGAUGGCCGCUCUUAUUGGGCCUAAAGCGUCCGUAGCCGGCCGGAUAAGUCCGUCGGGAAAUCCAUCCGCUUAACGGAUGGGCGUCCGGCGGAAACUGUCCGGCUUGGGACCGGAAGACCCGGGGGGUACGUCUUGGGUAGGAGUGAAAUCCUGUAAUCCUGGACGGACCGCCGGUGGCGAAAGCGCCUCGGGAGGACGGAUCCGACGGUGAGGGACGAAAGCUAGGGUCACGAACCGGAUUAGAUACCCGGGUAGUCCUAGCCGUAAACGAUGCUCGCUAGGUGUGGCGCA